GAGGAGAGGAGGCAGAACCAGAUGGGGCGGUGAGAGUCCAGCCACCUGUUCUCCCAGCACCCUGCCUGGAAACCUUUUCUACCCCCAGCAGAGCCUGGUAAAACCCCGGGACUCCUGCCAGCUUACACACAGAUGUCCAAAGUCAGUAUGAUGAAGUGGUUUAUUCUCCAGUUGCUGAUAGUCCUCUGCAUGGUGGUCCUGCCAGUGACGGGAAAAUGGAAAGGAAGAGUUUCUUCUGUGAUUCUAUUGUCAGAUUACAUUUUAUCAAAGGGGAAACUGAAACCGUGCUCAAUGACUCCCUUGGAUGGGCAGUGCAGCACCUUCUGCAAGAGACAUCUGGAAUGUCAGACUGGUCAACAUUGCUGCAAGGCCUUCUGUGGAAAUGUCUGCCAGUCUUUGGAAAAAAACAGAGAGCAGUGAUUGGCCGUAAAAUCAGCAACAUGAUUCCCAGUGCUGAGUCCUUAAACCAUCAGUGAGAGUUGGAGGAUACCUGGGAGGUCUUGGAAGAGCGCUACAUGACUUCCUGCAGAACCAUCUUUUUGCUGCAGUUGUGGUUUGGGUAGUGUGCCCAGGGCAAUGUCUCCUCUACCUGUCAACCUGCUUCCCUGAGCUAUUAUGUUAGCAGCCUUAAGUCCUUGCCAAAUAAACUGUGCACGUAA